rnacentral:rRNA from 1 species
UACGUAGGGUGCGAGCGUUGUCCGGAAUUAUUGGGCGUAAAGAGCUCGUAGGCGGCUUGUCGCGUCGGAUGUGAAAGCCCGGGGCUUAACUCCGGGUCUGCAUUCGAUACGGGCAGGCUAGAGUUCGGUAGGGGAGAUCGGAAUUCCUGGUGUAGCGGUGAAAAUGCGCAGAUAUCAGGAGGAACACCGGUGGCGAAGGCGGAUCUCUGGGCCGAUACUGACGCUGAGGAGCGAAAGCGUGGGGAGCGAACAGG